ACUUUUGGUACAUUGGUCUUCAUCAGUCAGGAUAUUGAGUAUUUAAGUUGGGAUGUUAAGUAACAGUUGUACAAGAAGUUGAUGAGGCCACACUUUCUGGAUUUUCUGCA